UAGGGAAUCUUCGGCAAUGGACGAAAGUCUGACCGAGCAACGCCGCGUGAGUGAAGAAGGUUUUCGGAUCGUAAAACUCUGUUGUUAGAGAAGAACAAGGACGUUAGUAACUGAACGUCCCCUGACGGUAUCUAACCAGAAAGCCACGGCUAACUACGUGCCAGCAGCCGCGGUAAUACGUAGGUGGCAAGCGUUGUCCGGAUUUAUUGGGCGUAAAGCGAGCGCAGGCGGUUUCUUAAGUCUGAUGUGAAAGCCCCCGGCUCAACCGGGGAGGGUCAUUGGAAACUGGGAGACUUGAGUGCAGAAGAGGAGAGUGGAAUUCCAUGUGUAGCGGUGAAAUGCGUAGAUAUAUGGAGGAACACCAGUGGCGAAGGCGGCUAUCUGGUCUGUAACUGACGCUGAGGCUAGAAAGCGUGGGGAGCAAACAGG
rnacentral:rRNA from 1 species